UACGUAGGGUGCAAGCGUUAAUCGGAAUUACUGGGCGUAAAGCGUGCGCAGGCGGUUAUGUAAGACAGUUGUGAAAUCCCCGGGCUCAACCUGGGAAUUGCAUCUGUGACUGCAUAGCUAGAGUACGGCAGAGGGGGAUGGAAUUCCGCGUGUAGCAGUGAAAUGCGUAGAUAUGCGGAGGAACACCAAUGGCGAAGGCAAUCCCCUGGGCCUGUACUGACGCUCAUGCACGAAAGCGUGGGGAGCAAACAGG
rnacentral:rRNA from 1 species